GUAUGUCGACUAGAACAUGCUAGCUGGACAAAAAUCGUUAUCAAACACUCGAAAACAAAGUGUCGUUUAACGUAAACAACACCAUAGAGACGCUAAUUCUAGGAAUUGUUUUCGUUUAACACAGUGGAUUUGUUUUGUUUGAAAUGUGUAAGUACCCUUUAUUGUGUAAAUCACAAAUGCACAUUUAUUCAGUUGCAAUUUAGCACUACGUUGAUUAACAUCUCCAAAGAAAUUUUGUGAUUGAAUCUAUUUUAUUAGUGAUGGAUUAUAUACUAGAAGAAGUUACAUACAAACUUACUCGUAUUGAAUUUUUUCAAGGGUGGGUCAAAUUAGAUAAAAAGGAUAAAAAUAAUUUAAUGCUAAGGUAUAUAAAGCAGAAAUGGAGCUUGGAGGAUGUUGUAGAUACAUCAGAAAAAGAAAUUAAAUUAUAAAUAUCAAGAUUUUCGGCAAAAUUAACUGAAAAAUGGAAUUCUUGUCGAUUC